AUUAGAGCAAGAGAAGGAGACGGAGAAGAAGAAGAACGAUGAGGAGAGCAAGCGAGCAUGAAGGGGAUCACCUACCAAGCUAAUGCAAGAGUAACAGGUUGAAGAGGCCAACACUAGCAUGGCUGAAAAUGGUAGAAUGCCAAGAAGGGAAGAAUGGCCCAACAUGUACUUGUGCCUUCGGCCAAUAGUGUUGGAAGAAUCAGCAAGAAAAGUGGGGCAACAGAUAGACAUUAACCUUUAAUAGAGGUUGGAGAUGAUAAGGAAUUAAGCAGACUCAAGGGAGAAUAAGUGUAGCUCAACCGGCUAGAGAAUCCUGAACAGGACAGGCUGUUAUGAGGACCUAUUUUUAUGAGUCUAUUAUUAUGAUAAAAUAAGUUAAAUAA